rnacentral:tRNA from 1 species
AGUCCUGUGGUGAAUUCACGUCAAAUUGCAAGUUUGAAGACGCACAUCUCGGUGCCGGGGCUU